GCUUCAGACAAAGGAGCGUGGGUUCAGAAUGUGGGAACCCUUCUACGCUCAAGACUCUGACACAACUGUACAUUGUACAAGAUCUUGGGUUUGUGUCCCAAUGCAUCAACACAGUGGUGUGAGCAGAGGGACGACUCAACAGAAUAGCGGGGGAUAGAUUGCAUAUCCCUUUGAUCCGCCAAUUGCCUCAUAGAGGUCUUCACCUGCUUGGCACAAAGGUAAACAAUCACAAACAUCGCCUCUUAAGGAGGACUUCAGACAGUUGCCUGGCCAAGUAACAGGCCAGGUCUUCCAGACUACAUGAAGUCAGAAGAUUAUACCUCAGUGGUAAGCAACCACAAGCUAGCAAAGCAAAGUUCAAAAUGAACUCAAAGCCACUUAGGUACCUGUGAAAAAAUCUAAAAUAAUCAGUUAAACUGUAUAGACAAACAACCAACAGUCAAUAUUAAACAGACAGUCAAAGCAUCAUCAGACAAUGAGCAAGGCACAAGCACAAGUGAAUUUGUUCUCAAAGCCUACAAAACAACACAAUGUUAGCCAACAUCAACCAAUAAUCAGGCUUAAAUGAAUGAGGCACUCCAAUCAUGGCAAUAUGCCUUUGAACCUGAAAUCCAUAAUACAAACAGUGAGUCCAAACCACUAGGUCAAAGCCUAGGGUCAAAAGAGGGAAAAAAAUCCAGAACAGAAGCUGAUACUCCACAUGAAAUUCAUUUACUCAAGUGAUAACAUGUCCUAAAAUUAAGGGAGCAUGCAAGAUUGAAUUAUUUCUAAGCCUAGGGGUAGAAUAGUCAUUUCACAGUUAUGGAUUAAUAUUGAAUUAGAAUUCUACUCUAGGUAAGUUCUAUUUGAAACAAUUAAAUUCUAAACUAAUUUACUAUUUCCAAAAAAACCCCUAAGAGAUUUUUCUAAUCCUAAAAUUAUUUACUCCUAAUAUCUCUAAUCUAAUCAACUAAAUCUAAAAUUAAUUUCUAAAUCAACAUAAUAUCCUAGCUCUAAAAUUAAUCCAGAAUUUCUAAUCAAAUUCAUUAAUUCUAAAAUCAGUUUUUUAUAUUUCCAGUUAAUCUAAUUGAACUAAUUCUAGAAAUUUAAUCCAAAAACUUCUAAUAUCUCCUAAGCUUAGUUCUAACAUUCUAAAUACUUAAUCCUAAAAUCAACAUUUCUAAUUAUCUAAAUGCAUACUUACCUAAUUACCUAAACUAAACCUGGCGUCAAUUAAUCCUAAUUACUAGUUAACCUAAUUAACUAUUGUAAAAAACCAAGCCAUGGAUUAUUCAGAAAUUCAGCAGACUGGGCCUAAAGGCUAAGCCCACACUGAGGGGGUAUGAAUAGCGGAAGCAGCAUGGAAAUACCGAAGGCUCGGGCCUAAGGCCCAACCAAACCCAAGGCUGCAUCAACGGGAUGUAUAUCCCUUCUUCGCCUUCCUGUGAACAAAAUUCCUCUAAGGAAAAAUGGAAACAACGCGUGUUUAAACAACUCCGCCACGCCGGAGCUCAUCGCCGGUGACGGCGGAGCUCCUAUCACCCCCAAAACCAGGUCAAUACGGCGAAAUUCCAAACCGAACCUACGCAUGGGAAUAGUUUCCCUUAACUCUCUAUAAUCCGUCCGAAUCGAGGAUGUCCUUCCAAGAAACCAAACUCUCACAGGCGAAAUCACACGGAGGAUUCGCGUCAACUCAAACAACUAGCUUAGGGUUCACGAUCUCUAAGAACGACUCCACAAUACGGUGGCGAAUUUAUGCCGAACUAAAGGGAAAAGAUAAAUACCUCCGAUGUGAAUUCCGACGAGGAUGAGCUGAAGAAGAUGGACGUGGUUUUAUUGACGGUGAAGCGCCGACGAUGACCGAGUGAAGUAGACGUCGGUGUUGGAUCCAGAGGCGUACGCGAGCAAUCGAGGCGUAUAAUGAGUGAUUUCUCCGUGUCGGACUUCCGUCGGUCCUUCCGUUUACGUUCAGCCACAAGGAGGCGUUCGUCACCGGUUCAGAUUGAACCGAUACCGGUAUUCCGAAGUUGUUAAUGAUGUUCACAGGUGAUUAUCCUUCCUCUUCCGUAUGAAUCUUUUACGCUAUAUUCCUGCUUCUUCCCUAUGGAUUCUUGCGGUUGUUUCUUCUUCUUCAGUUUCUUUCUUGGAGUGAUUCUGGUGAGAUGUUGAUUGUUGAUGGUGAAGGUGUCAUGAAUUUGUUACGGUGGUUGAAGCUUCUGUGAGUAUGGUUGAAGAUUGAUGCAGUGAACGUCGUUGAAGAAUCGAGGUGGAAGUGGAGGUUGAAGCGGUGGUUUAGCUCUGCCGUGUAGAGCUUCGAAUGAUGAAGCUCCCACAACAAUGGAGGAUGAGCGUGUACUGAAGGUGAGGAUUGAGUGCAGAAGCUUUUUGGAAUCAGGGAAAAAUCUUUCGAACCCCAUGAUUGGCAAUGAUUGCCUCUUAUAUAGGCUUGAUCCAAGGGGCAAAUUGGAGAAUUGGAUCUGGGUUGUUCAAUCUCAUUCGUCCAGCUGGCACUUAAGUGAAUGAGAAGGUGAGUUUUGAAUUAAGUCACGUGGAAUUUUCCACAAGUUCACUCUCUAAUCCCUUUGCUUUAAGUUCUUUGAUCCAACUGUGGAUAACUGUUAUUGAACCAAACUGAUUUGGACUGUUGCUUAACUUCCUGCACUGCAUAUUAUUUUGAAACUCAUUGAUUUGAAUUGAACUGCAUUGGCUUGUUGUGACUUGCUUAGAUAUUUUCUAUGGUGCAGGAUUCGUAUUCAGUUUGGUGUAGUGUCAAGGUUAAUAUACAUUGUAUCAACACAAACAAAUUCAUUGCAAGCCCCCGUCGGUUGCCGUUAUUGCUCGAUGCUAAGUUUAGUGGCCUGAUGCAAGACUCGCCCUGUCGCAGUGCAGGAUUGUUAUGCUGCUAGAUCCGGAACUAGCCUUAGACCGAUGUUGCCGUUUGUGCUGAAAACCGAUUCGCAGGGCCUCGUUUGAGCACGGCUGCAGGUCUGAUCCCUCUUGCACCGCCUUGGAUUGUAGUAGCAUUAUUUCAUGGUGUAGCAUCGGGUGCCAGUGCUUUGGUUUCAACUCACUGGAUUUUGCGUUUUGCUUUGCGGUUUACCGGCUUGGAAUUGUGGCUAUAGUUUUUUGCUCGGCUGUUUGGCGUUUUGGACUCACUUUUAUGCAGGUUUUUGGUGGUAUUUAAAUGCAGAAAUUUGGUUUUGGAAUGCAGAAAUUUGGUUUUGGAAUGCAGAAUUUUUGGUUUUUGAAUGCAGAAUUUUUGCUGUAUUUUAUGCAGAAUUUUUGCUGUAUUUUAUGCAGAGUUUUGGUGUGUUGCUGCAGAAUUUUUGCUGUAUUUUGGAUGCACUUUAAUGCAGAAUUUUGUUUAUGAAAAUGCAAUGCAGAAUUUUUGUUUAUGAAAAUGCAGAAUGUUUCAAUGCAGAAUUUUGUUAAAAGUUUAAUGCAGAAUUUUGUUUAUGAAAAAUGCAGAAUUUUGUUUCAAUGCAGAAUUU